CAGCCGCCGCGGUAAUACCGGCGGCCCGAGUGGCGGUCACUAUUAUUGGGCUUAAAGCGUCCGUAGCCGGGUUGGGAAGUCCUCCGGGAAAUCUGGCCGCUUAACCGUCAGAAUGCCGGAGGAUACUCCCAGCCUAGGGAGCGGGAGAGGCCGAGGGUAUUCCCGGAGGAGGGGGGAAAUCCUAUAAUCCCGGGAGGACCACCUGUGGCGAAGGCGCUCGGCUGGAACGCGUCCGACGGUGAGGGACGAAGGCCAGGGGAGCAAACCGGAUUAGAUACCCGGGUAGUCCUGGCUGUAAACGAUGCGGACUUUGUGUCGGACAAGCUAUGAGCUUGUCCGGUGCCGGAGGGAAACCGUUAAGUCCGCCGCCUGGGGAGUACGGCCGCAAGGCUGAAACUUAAAGGAAUUGGCGGG
rnacentral:rRNA from 1 species